UGGAUAAAUAUUACUCAAAGGAAGGUUCAACGUCCGAGGUGCGCUUAAGUCCUAAAUUCUUCGAAGGGGAAACUAAUGGAAACGUGACGGAGUAAUAAAAAUUUGAAAUCUAAAUGCAGAUAGCUAGAAAUGAGCAUUUAUUUUCCAGUAUCAGUAUCAAUAUGCAAGGGAUGUAUGGGAUGAUAUAUAUGAAGCAUGGAUAAUGGGAAUAAUGAAUGAUCUGAAUAUGUUGGUAUAUAGCAUAAAGGUGAAAAAGAACGUGUCCAUGGAACGGUUGGCUUUGCUUGGGGUGUCUAAAAGGUCAACUUGGAAGACGGGAGUGGUACCAGAAGGCAUGUCGACCUAUUGGUUUAGGUUGAAGAAGGAGAAGUGGGAGUGGUGCUAGAAGGCGGUGAGAGGCACAUGAGUUUUGUGGCUGCUGAUUUUUGGGGAGAUAUCCUAAAUGGUUUGAAGCUGACCUCUGGUAUAAUGGAUAUUAUCUAGAACGGUAUAGAUUCCGUGCGUAUGGUGAUGAUUCGGCUUCAUGUCGUAUACGUACUAGUGGUUGUUUUUGUAGCUAGUGAACAUACAUCUCCACUCUCCCCUUUUGGUUGCAGACCUUUUUGUAUUAGGCGUAUUGCCGUAUUGGCUAGUUUCCAUGCUACAUUAGUGUCAACUACUGUCCUGCUU